UUCCUACAAGUAUUGGAGUCUUGCUUCACUGAGAAUCCAGAACGUUGACCAACAUUCCUACAAGUAUUGGAGUCUUGCUUCACUGAGAAUCCAGAACGUUGACCAACAUUCCUCCUCACCCUAAACCACACACUGCUGCAGAGUUCACUCUCCGUAAGAUGUAACAGUUUUAGGAUAUCAUGUUUAAAGGCCUGGGUAAGAAGGAAAACCCAUCUGAGGAGAGACAGACAGUCUGGAUUAAAGGCCUGGGUAAAACCCAUCUAGCUGGUAGUGAAGGGAGAAUAUCUGAGUAGACACAGUCAGGAUUAAGUUGUUCCCUAAACAGUGAUCUAAGGGAAGUUUUGUGGUGUUAACUCUCUUGGUUACGGUUAGGUCAGAAUAUGCAUAUAAUUAACAGCUAAGGAUAGAAAACACUCUAAUGUUUCCAAAACUGUAAAGAUAUUGUCUGAGUAUAACAGAACUGAUGUUGCAGGCGAAAGCCUGAGAAAAAUCCAAUCCGGAAGUGCCCCAGGUUUUGAAAGCGCUGCGUUCCAAUGAGUCCCUAUUCAGCUGUGAAUGUACCAUCAACGAGCUUACGCUUUCUACGUAUUCCCCAAGGUGUCUACAGCAUUGUGACGUAGUUUUACUCAUUUAUGUUGAAGAAUAGCCGUAUGGGGGGGCACAGUGUGUAAGUGGUCACCUGAUGCUCCCAGAGAGAUUCUCGCGUAAAAUACAGAGGCAGCCAUUACUCCAAUCGGUCCUACUGAAAAACCAAUUGUCCCGGUGGAUGGAUAUAUUAUCGAAUAGAUAUUAGAGAAACACCUUGAGGAUUGAUUAUAAACAACGUUUGCCAUGUUUCUGUCGAUAUUAUGGAGCUAAUUUGGAAUAUUUUUUCGCCGUUUUCGUGACUGCAAUUUCCGGGCGAUUUCUCAGCCAAACCUGAAGAACAAACGGAGCUAUUUCGCCUACAAAAAUAAUAUUUUGGGAAAAAAUGAACUUUGGCUAUCUACCUGGGAGUCUCGUGAGUGAAAACAUCCGAAGUUCAUCAAAGGUAAACGAUUUAAUUUGAUUGCUUUUCUGAUUUCCGUGACAAGGUUGCCUGCUGCUAGCAAGGCAUAAUGCUAUGCUAGGCUAUCGAUAAACUUACACAAAUGCUUGUCUAGCUUUGGCUGUAAAGCAUAUUUUGAAAAUCUGAGAUGACAGGGUGAUUAACAAAAGGCUAAGCUGUGUCUCAAUAUAUUUCAUUUGUGAUUUUCAUGAAUAGGAAUAUUUUCUAGGGAUAUUUAUGUCCGUUGCGUUAUGCUAAUUAGU
rnacentral:lncRNA from 13 species